rnacentral:rRNA from 1 species
GUGGGGAAUAUUGGACAAUGGGGGGAACCCUGAUCCAGCCAUGCCGCGUGUGUGAAGAAGGCCUUUUGGUUGUAAAGCACUUUAAGCGAGGAGGAGGCUACCGAGAUUAAUACUCUUGGAUAGUGGACGUUACUCGCAGAAUAAGCACCGGCUAACUCUGUGCCAGCAGCCGCGGUAAUACAGAGGGUGCAAGCGUUAAUCGGAUUUACUGGGCGUAAAGCGCGCGUAGGUGGCCAAUUAAGUCAAAUGUGAAAUCCCCGAGCUUAACUUGGGAAUUGCAUUCGAUACUGGUUGGCUAGAGUAUGGGAGAGGAUGGUAGAAUUCCAGGUGUAGCGGUGAAAUGCGUAGAGAUCUGGAGGAAUACCGAUGGCGAAGGCAGCCAUCUGGCCUAAUGCUGACACUGAGGUGCGAAAGCAUGGGGAGCAAACAGGAUUAGAAACCCUAGUAGUCC